AGUGAACGCUGGCGGUAGGCCUAACACAUGCAAGUCGAACGGCAGCACAGUAAGAGCUUGCUCUUACGGGUGGCGAGUGGCGGACGGGUGAGGAAUACAUCGGAAUCUACCUUUUCGUGGGGGAUAACGUAGGGAAACUUACGCUAAUACCGCAUACGACCUACGGGUGAAAGCAGGGGAUCUUCGGACCUUGCGCGAUUGAAUGAGCCGAUGUCGGAUUAGCUAGUUGGCGGGGUAAAGGCCCACCAAGGCGACGAUCCGUAGCUGGUCUGAGAGGAUGAUCAGCCACACUGGAACUGAGACACGGUCCAGACUCCUACGGGAGGCAGCAGUGGGGAAUAUUGGACAACGGGCGCAAGCCUGAUCCAGCCAUACCGCGUGGGUGAAGAAGGCCUUCGGGUUGUAAAGCCCUUUUGUUGGGAAAGAAAAGCAGCAGGUUAAUACCCCGCUGUUCUGACGGUACCCAAAGAAUAAGCACCGGCUAACUUCGUG
rnacentral:rRNA from 1 species